GGCAGUGUGUAAGACGCUCACGGGCGCGCGGACUAUCGGGCGGCUAGGCUCUCUGAGGAGGCUGCCACAGUGAAGCAACCGUGACAAGUGGUGCCCGACCAGGGACCUGAACGAGGAAGGUCUGCCAGAGCAGAGAAAGUGAAACUGAUCAGACGAACUACGAACCCCUGGACGGGAGAGUCUGCCGGCGGAGAAUAUAAGGUGUGUGUGACCAUGGAACGGGAGACCGGAGGGAUCCAUGGUAUUCAACCGUGGGCCUGUUACCUCCAGUACGAGCCAUGAGCCAGCGGAAUCUGAAUGCAAAGACAGAACAAGGGCCGACCGGAGUCACAAUGACAUCCAACCCCAUAACAUGGGGACAGAUCAAGAAAACGACACAAGAAGCUGAGAAACUACUGGAGCGCCAGGGUCAGGCAAAAACCCCUGACUCCAUGUUCUUGGCCAUGCUAGCUGUAGUGUCCUGUGCGUCUAUAGGAUCGGGUGAACCACCAACCGGCAAUUGAAAGCUGCACAGCCUGAAAUUACCUUUAUUCAAUUAAUGCAAAAACAAAAGGGGAGAUGUUGGAGGCCGAAGGAAUGAGGGUCGUGACCAACUCAGUAUACCACUGGAGGCUCUGUGAGCAAACAGCAAACUGUUCUCAUGAAAGCAGGAUGUUGGCGAACUGACAAACUCUGUCUGCCGCCAGAAGGAAUGCUGGGGGCAGUCAUGUCCCAGGUCCCGUGCUCCUUGAGGUUAUCCACAGGAACAUCCAGAACCUGUUGAACAAAGAAAGGAAUCAUGUGGGCCUGUGUUAAAUCAAAUAGCUGACCGACAGUUAUCCCUUCCUCCCUAUUCACUCUACCUAAUAAAUAUGAAGGGCUGUAAAAGCUCAGGUCCCUGUUCCCUAAUAUCAAGGAGCCCCCUGACCCCUUCUUUCAAACA
rnacentral:lncRNA from 1 species